rnacentral:misc_RNA from 1 species
AAAUAACAGUUAAAAUACGCCAUUUUUUCAUCCAAAUUCUCCAUUUUUUCCUCCGUUUCUGUAAUCAGCCAUGUACCGUUCAUCGAGUUCUUCACGAGUGUCUGAAGAGUUCUUUUUUAAUUCUUCACCGAAUCUGAAAUCAACAAUUUCUACUGAAACUGAAGAACUACCGACGUUUAAUCCCCAAUCUCAUGUUGCUAAAAAGGAAAGAAAUCGUCUCAGAUCUGCUGAAAAUGCAAUCCAUCUUAUCCCUUUAAUACUCCUGCUUUCUGCUAUUGUUUUGUGGGUUUUCUCUAGCCCGGCAGUUACUAUGGUGAAUAAAGCUGAUUCAAUUGUUGCCAGACUCAACGUUGCUGUGAAUCAACCUGAAAUCCACGAAGACAGUUCAAAGACAAGUUUCACAUCAAAGCUGGAGUUAGAGGACAUCGAUGCAACUGAUAAGUCCGAAGAUCAAUCUGAAGGAUGACAUUGAAGUUCCAUUGCUCAUCUAGAAUAGACAUCAUCAAUCAUGGCUCAUACAUAUGUUAAAUUAGUGAACUGUAUACAACAUACAUAGGCGAUAUCACGUUGCAGGCUUUUGAGUAAAGUUUUAUAUUGUCCCAAAGCACCAAGUGUUAUAGUUAAAGGUUUCCCCUUUGUUACUGUACUGUUAAACUGGUUGUAUGCUGAAGCAUGUAUUGAAUUCGAAUACAGAAGCAUAAACACUUCUAUUAGCA